CCACUAGGACGAAUAAAAUAGCAACAAAGUUAGUGAAAUGUCAUUCACAGGUGAAGAAUGUCAAGUCUUCGGGUAUUUUGACAGCAUUGGCGAUUGGUUAGGUUAGGUUUUAACCUUUGGGCGUAUUUACAAUAGUACCAGCCCUUUAAAAUGACCAAUAGCGAAGGGGAAAAUGUCUGGAGUGUAUGUAGUAGUUGGAAUAUUUGUCCUGGAGUUGUAAAUAAUUGUUUAAUAAUUGAAAAAAUUAAUUGGGAAAAUCAGUGACGAAGUGGACAAAUAAGAGAAAUUGACUCAUCUUUGAGACAAGUUUUUGAACAAUAUCUCCGAAUUUAAGACAGCUGGUGGAAUUUUUGUUAUGGCAGUUUUUGUAGAUUGCAAUCCGCUCUACAAAAAAGGUUAUAAUACAAAUUUUGCGAUCUUAACCGGCUUUCGAGAUAUUUGUCAAAUACUGAUCAGUAGUCAAAAGUGGUUGAUUUUGUUGCACCAUUUCACUACUAAAUUCUAUGCAAAGAAAUAUUCCGUAGAAAUUACUGACCUCGAAUUCAAUUCGCGAUUCUUUCAAUGAGUAGGAAAACGCAAGUGACGAUGUCAUAAUUUUUCUCAGAAAAUUCAGUUAUUACUGGUGAAUUUUUUGAUGAUGAAAAAUUAAGACCGCGACCAACCAACCGAACGCCAACUGCUUUCCGCUGACAUUGCACGUUGGCUUUUGAGUGAGGCAUUAGCAUCGAAAAAUGAAUAAUAAAAAAAUACUAACGUUGACUGGAAGCUGCUGAGUAAGACGUUUAUCCUUCGUGGGUAUGUGGAGCCACGAAAAUUUCAAUGGUGAGAAAUUUCGGUGAGGGGGGCAUUUAAUAAAAAUAGAACUGAGUUUUGGUGGUUUGUUUGGGCCGUGGAAGUCAUUCUAUUCCCAGAAGUCAUUCCUCGGGUUUGUCAGCACUGAUUGCAAGGAAAUUUCCUUAACUACCAGAUCUAACAAUUAAUUGAUAAUAAAUUUGUGUAACGAAAUUACGAGGGAUACCUACAGCGUCAGACUUAUAAAACAGUCGGUUCGAUAAAAUGAAUUCUAAUAAUAAUUUUUACUAAUUUCUCUCUGGGAUGAUGGAAUUGAGAAAUUGAAUCUCUCCUUUCUAUCAUCCAGGCAGUCCCACAGUGUCUUCUGGACAAUCCAACGAAUGUUUGGGGAUUUGUCAGCAUCUCCACAACGCAAUUAUAACAAUUGUCUUAAAUAAUUGUACCGCUUGAUUGUCUGUCUUCUGUCAAAAAUCCUGAAAUGUUUUGUAUCCACUAAUAAAUCAGAUCAGUCGAUUGAAAUAAAAUUGA